CAGUGUUGACCCAAAUGACCAGAAAAAGACAGCGUGCUACGACAUUGAUGUGGAAGUGGAUGACACUUUGAAGACCCAGAUGAACUCUUUCCUGCUGUCCACUGCCAGCCAGCAGGAGAUCGCUACUCUAGACAACAAGGUCGGGGUCUCUGUCCCACCGUCCAUCAUAGCUCCCAGCUGCCUUUUGCUUUUCGUUUUUAACUAAAAAAUAUGUUGAUACCCAGAACUUGUCAGGCUGUCGGUAACGUUUAGUGAUAAGUGGAGGCAGGUUACAUACAUGCAUUUAGAUUCUGCCUAUUACAUUUUGUUUUUGUUUUUAGCAUUUUGAGUGCAUCUGUCCCUUGUAGAGUAGGCUGGCCUCAAAUGCAUGAUGAUUCUUCUACGUCAUGUUCAACAGU
rnacentral:lncRNA from 1 species